rnacentral:tRNA from 1 species
AGUUUUAAAGGUGUUUUACAUAUUAGAUUUUCUUUCUAAAGUAGGUUUCUUAAAACUU